AUUGAACGCUGGCGGCAGGCUUAACACAUGCAAGUCGAGCGGGCGAGGUUGCUUCGGUAACUGAGCUAGCGGCGGACGGGUGAGUAAUGCUUAGGAAUCUGCCUAUUAGUGGGGGACAACAUUCCGAAAGGAAUGCUAAUACCGCAUACGCCCUACGGGGGAAAGCAGGGGAUCUUCGGACCUUGCGCUAAUAGAUGAGCCUAAGUCAGGUUAGCUAGUUGGUGGGGUAAAGGACUACCAAGGCGACGAUCUGUAGCGGGUCUGAGAGGAUGAGCCGCCACACUGGGACUGAGACACGGCCCAGACUCCUACGGGAGGCAGCAGUGGGGAAUAUUGGACAAUGGGGGGAACCCUGAUCCAGCCAUGCCGCGUGUGUGAAGAAGGCCUUAUGGUUGUAAAGCACUUUAAGCGAGGAGGAGGCUACUGAGACUAAUACUCUUGGAUAGUGGACGUUACUCGCAGAAUAAGCACCGGCUAACUCUGUGCCAGCCGCCGCCGUAAAAC
rnacentral:rRNA from 1 species